CGCUUUUUUCGCCCAGGCGGAGCUCGACCGCCGUUUGAAGUGAUCUGGCUACUCAUCGACGAGCACCGGAAAACCUUUGGGGGUCGAGCCAAUGUGCAGCGUGCUGCAGGUGUCCCCA
rfam:Pseudomonas pseudoalcaligenes KF707 = NBRC 110670 strain KF707 ctg1721, whole genome shotgun sequence.